rnacentral:rRNA from 1 species
AAUCAACGCUGGCGGCGUGCCUAACACAUGCAAGUCGAACGCGAAAAUUCCUUCGGGGAUGAGUAGAGUGGCGUCCGGGUGAGUAACGCGUGGGUAAUCUGCCUUCGGGUGGGGAAUAACCCAGGGAAACGUUGGGCUAAUACCGCAUAAUGCAGCGGCUCGACAUCGAGACAGUUAGUUAAAGCAGCAAUGCGCCUGAAGAGGAGCCUGCGUCUGAUUAGCAGUUGGUAAGGUAAUGGCUUACCAAGGCUACGAUCAGUAGCUGGUCUGAGAGGACGGCCAGCCACAAUGGCACUGAAACACGGGCCAUACUCCUACGGGAGG